rnacentral:rRNA from 1 species
UAUAAGACUGGGAUAACUUCGGGAAACCGGGGCUAAUGCCGGAUAAUAUUUAGAACCGCAUGGUUCUAAAGUGAAAGAUGGUUUUACUAUCGCUUAUAGAUGGGCCCGCGCCGUAUUAGCUAGUUGGUGGGGUAAUGGCUUACCAAGGCAACGAUACGUAGCCGACCUGAGAGGGUGAUCGGCCACACUGGAACUGAGACACGGUCCAGACUCCUACGGGAGGCAGCAGUAGGGAAUCUUCCGCAAUGGGCGAAAGCCUGACGGAGCAACGCCGCGUGAGUGAUGAAGGUCUUCGGAUCGUAAAACUCUGUUAUUAGGGAAGAACAAAUGUGUAAGUAACUGUGCACGUCUUGACGGUACCUAAUCAGAAAGCCACGGCUAACUACGUGCCAGCAGCCGCGGUAAUACGUAGGUGGCAAGCGUUAUCCGGAAUUAUUGGGCGUAAAGCGCGCGUAGGCGGUUUCUUAAGUCUGAUGUGAAAGCCCACGGCUCAACCGUGGAGGGUCACUGGAAACUGGGAAACUUGAGUGCAGAAGAGGAAAGUGGAAUUCCAUGUGUAGCGGUGAAAUGCGCAGAGAUAUGGAGGAACACCAGUGGCGAAGGCGACUUUCUGGUCUGUAACUGACGCUGAUGUGCGAAAGCGUGGGGAUCAAACAGGAUUAGAUACCCUGGUAGUCCACGCCGUAAACGAUGAGUGCUAAGUGUUAGGGGGUUUCCGCCCCUUAGUGCUGCAGCUAACGCAUUAAGCACUCCGCCUGGGGAGUACGACCGCAAGGUUGAAACUCAAAG